UACAGAGGGUGCGAGCGUUAAUCGGAAUUACUGGGCGUAAAGCGCGCGUAGGCGGCUUUUCAAGUCGAUUGUGAAAUCCCCGGGCUCAACCUGGGAACUGCAUCUGUGACUGCAUCGCUGGAGUGCGGCAGAGGGGGAUGGAAUUCCGCGUGUAGCAGUGAAAUGCGUAGAUAUGCGGAGGAACACCGAUGGCGAAGGCAAUCCCCUGGGCCUGCACUGACGCUCAUGCACGAAAGCGUGGGGAGCAAACAGG
rnacentral:rRNA from 1 species